UACGAAGGGGGCUAGCGUUGCUCGGAAUCACUGGGCGUAAAGGGUGCGUAGGCGGGUCUUUAAGUCAGGGGUGAAAUCCUGGAGCUCAACUCCAGAACUGCCUUUGAUACUGAAGAUCUUGAGUUCGGGAGAGGUGAGUGGAACUGCGAGUGUAGAGGUGAAAAUUCGUAGAUAUCGCAAGAACACCAGUGGCGAAGGCGGCUCACUGGCCCGAUACUGACGC
rnacentral:rRNA from 1 species